rnacentral:rRNA from 1 species
UACGUAGGAUGCAAGCGUUGUCCGGAAUUAUUGGGCGUAAAGAGCUCGUAGGCGGUUCGGUAAGUCAGCUGUGAAAUCUCCACGCUCAACGUGGAGGGGUCAGCUGAUACUGCCGUGACUUGAGUCUGGUAGGGGAGUGCGGAAUUCCCGGUGUAGCGGUGAAAUGCGCAGAUAUCGGGAGGAACACCAGUGGCGAAGGCGGCACUCUGGGCCAGUACUGACGCUGAGGAGCGAAAGCGUGGGGAGCGAACAGG